GACGAACGCUGGCGGCGUGCUUAACACGUGCAAGUCGAACGGAAAGGCCCUGCUUUUGUGGGGUGCUCGAGUGGCGAACGGGUGAGUAACACGUGAGUAACCUGCCCUUGACUUUGGGAUAACUUCAGGAAACUGGGGCUAAUACCGGAUAGGAGCUCCUGCUGCAUGGUGGGGGUUGGAAAGGUUCGGCGGUUGGGGAUGGACUCGCGGCUUAUCAGCUUGUUGGUGGGGUAGUGGCUUACCAAGGCUUUGACGGGUAGCCGGCCUGAGAGGGUGACCGGCCACAUUGGGACUGAGAUACGGCCCAGACUCCUACGGGAGGCAGCAGUGGGGAAUAUUGCACAAUGGGCGGAAGCCUGAUGCAGCAACGCCGCGUGCGGGAUGACGGCCUUCGGGUUGUAAACCGCUUUCGCCUGUGACGAAGCGUGAGUGACGGUAAUGGGUAAAGAAGCACCGGCUAACUACGUG
rnacentral:rRNA from 1 species